GUUUAUCUGUUCCGACGUUGAGAAAGGGCAUAAAACAGGCAUAAGGGCAUGCUCGAACAUUGUCGCACUGAGUUGCUGUCACGCUCAAACCAUUGCUUCAGCCAUCGUGAAACCAUAGGGUCAGGAAAAUGCAGUCAACAUGACUGUCACAUCGCCUCAAGUGGAGAGCACAAGCAAACCCGCGAGCGACGUGAACACCACCAUUCAUCGGACUGUAGCCCUGUCCGAGAAUGUAGACGGUGGGAGGAGGUUCAAUGUUCACGGAGCAGACAAAGAGGCCAACCCAAUACUGCUAUCCAUUCUAGUCAUCAGUGUAACACUCGUCAUCAUCUUGACAUUAAUCUACCUCAUCAAGAAAAGUCAGUCUGUCAGUCAGAGACGUCACCUAGGCUUUGAACAGAUUGCUUCGUCUGGAAGGGAGGCUACAACCACCUUUAUACGACGAAGUUGUCAAGACAUCUCUGUGGUCACGACACCUUGCAGGACGCAACAUCGACACUGAUCCUCCACCUUCGUACGAAGAAGCGCGCGAGUACUACAUUUCCGACCUCACUGAACAUUUCCAACAAAACCCCUCCUGCAGCGAUUUCAGGAAAUAGAACUGGAACGAGGUGUACCGAGGCUUUUGGACGGGAAUACAGUCAAAGUGGAGUCAGUGAAAGGGUAUCGGCUCAGGCUUCCUGUGCGGAUGUUCGUUUAAGAACAAACAGUUUGGAAACGUUUGUUUGGAGGUGAUUUUCCUGACAUGUAACGCACUGAAAAGCUGAACUGCUCCCAUAGACUUUGCCCCCUGGGCGAAAUGCAGUGAGUGAACUGGAGGCUCAAGGCAACUGAAUGACUGUACACUUCAUCAAGAUAUUGCAUAAGUUCUGCCUUAUCACGUGGAGGCAUCUUUGUGUCGACAACUGCGAACUAUAAUGUGACAUUGAUGCUAAUAGCAACAUAAAAUGUGGAGACCACAUAAAAAAAAGAAAAAAGUUACUACCUUCAUAUCACAAAAACGUC